AAGGCAGUGGCCGGUACAUCCUCCUCGGGCCCGCCCCCUAUCGACCUCCGAGCUCACCAGGAUCUUUUGCGGCGAGUCGCCUUAAAUAUCAAUCUCCAGGUGGAGGAGGUCCCUGAGGUUGAGGACCCGGUGGUCAGCGUCCUCUC